CGUCUGAUUAGCUAGUUGGUGGGGUAAAGGCCUACCAAGGCGACGAUCAGUAGCCGGCCUGAGAGGGUGAACGGCCACACUGGGACUGAGACACGGCCCAGACUCCUACGGGAGGCAGCAGUGGGGAAUCUUCCGCAAUGGACGAAAGUCUGACGGAGCAACGCCGCGUGUAUGAUGAAGGUCUUCGGAUUGUAAAGUACUGUCUUUGGGGAAGAACGGUAGCAUUGAGAAUAUUGAGUUCACAUGACGGUACCCAAGGAGGAA
rnacentral:rRNA from 1 species